UAACCUGGUUGAUCCUGCCAGUAGUCAUAUGCUUGUCUCAAAGACUAAGCCAUGCAUGUCUAAGUAUAAAUGUUAUACAGUAAAACUGCGAAUGGCUCAUUAAAACAGUUAUAGUUUAUUUGGUACUCGAUUUACAUGGAUAACCGUGGUAAUUCUAGAGCUAAUACAUGCUUUAAAGCCCGACUUCUCGGAAGGGCCGUAUUUAUUAGAUAACAGACCAAUACUCCUCGUGUCUAUUGUGGUGAGUCAUAGUAACUUUUCGGAUCGCAUGGGCUUUGUCCCGCGACAAACCAUUCAAGUUUCUGCCCCAUCAGCUUUCGAUGGUAGUGUAUUGGACUACCAUGGCUUUCACGGGUAACGGAGGAUUAGGGUUCGAUUCCGGAGAGGGAGCCUGAGAAACGGCUACCACUUCUAAGGAAGGCAGCAGGCGCGUAAAUUACCCAAUUCUAAUUCAGAGAGGUAGUGACAAGAAAUAACGGGUCGGGCCUUCGGGUCUGGGACUGCAAUGAGACGAAUUUACACCCCUUUUCGAGCAUCAAUUGGAGGGCAAGUCUGGUGCCAGCAGCCGCGGUAAUUCCAGCUCCAAUAGCGUAUAUUAAAGUUGUUGCAGUUAAAAAGCUCGUAGUUGGAUUUCUGGUUGCAUGCUUGGACCUACUGAUGUAGUGGACGAGGUGCUUCCAUCCUUCUGUUAACCACCGUUGGCUUCACAAGUUCGGUCGGGGCUCAGAUAUUUUACCUUGAGAAAAUUAGAGUGUUUCAGGCAGGCUAGCGCCGGAAUACAUUAGCAUGGAAUAAUAGAAUAAGGACUUUUACCUCUUCUGUUGGUCUGAGGGGUUAAAGUAAUGAUUAAUAGGGAAAGUUGGGGGCAUUGGUACUUAGCUGUCAGAGGUGAAAUUCACGGAUUUGUUAAAGACCAACUUAUGCGAAAGCAUUUGCCAAGGAUGUUUUCAUUAAUCAAGAACGAAAGUUAGGGGAUCAAAGACGAUCAGAUACCGUCCUAGUCUUAACCAUAAACUAUGCCCGACUCGGGAUUGGAGCAAGAAUAUCUGCUUUCAGCACCGUAUGAGAAAUCAAAGUCUUUGGGUUCUGGGGGGAGUAUGGUCGCAAGGCUGAAACUUAAAAGGAAUUGACGGAAGGGCACCACCAGGCGUGGAGCUUGCGGCUCAAUUUGACUCAACACGGGGAAACUUACCAGGUCCAGACAUAGCUAGGAUUGACAGAUUGGUGGUUCUUUCUUGAUUCUGUGGGUGGUGGUGCAUGGCCGUUCUUAGUUGGUGGAGUGAUUUGUCUGGUUAAUUCCGUUAACGAACGAGACCUUAGCCUGCUAAAUAGUUUUGCUAAUCCCAUUGGCACAACUUCUUAGAGGGACUUUGUAAAAAAAUACAAGGAAGUUUGAGGCAAUAACAGGUCUGUGAUGCCCUUAGAUGUCCUGGGCCGCACGCGUGCUACACUGAUACGUGCACCGAGCAUAUCCCUACCCGAAAGGUGUAGGUUAAUCAGCAAUACGUAUCGUGAUGGGGAUUGAUCUUUGGAAUUCUUGAUCAUGAACGAGGAAUGCCUAGUAAGCGUAGCUCAUCAGGCUGCGUUGAUUACGUCCCUGCCCCUUGUACACACCGCCCAAUCGCUCCUACCGAUUUCGAGUGGUCCGGUGAACCGUUUGGACCGGGAUCAGUCUUGUGCUGAGCCUGGGAAGUUCAGUAAACCACAUCACUUAGAGGAAGGAGAAGUCGUAACAAGGUUUCCGUAGGUGAACCUGCAGAAGGAUCA
rnacentral:rRNA from 1 species